AUACGUAGGGAGCGAGCGUUGUCCGGAAUUACUGGGUGUAAAGGGAGCGUAGGCGGGAGAGCAAGUCAGCUGUGAAAACUAUGGGCUUAACCCAUAGACUGCAGUUGAAACUGUUCUUCUUGAGUGAAGUAGAGGUAGGCGGAAUUCCGAGUGUAGCGGUGAAAUGCGUAGAUAUUCGGAGGAACACCAGUGGCGAAGGCGGCCUACUGGGCUUUAACUGACGCUGAGGCUCGAAAGUGUGGGGAGCAAACAGGAUUAGAUACCCUGGUAGUCCACACUGUAAACGAUGAUUGCUAGGUGUGGGGGGUCUGACCCCUUCCGUGCCGCAGUUAACGCAAUAAGCAAUCCACCUGGGGAGUACGAUCGCAAGGUUGAA
rnacentral:rRNA from 1 species